ensembl:lncRNA
GUGUACAUCUGUUUGCUGUGUGGGACUGAUCACCACCCCUUCCACGUUAGCAGUCAUGGAUCAUUUCUGCUGACAGAAGACAAACUACCUGGUGACCAGGUCAGCCCUAGUUCCUAGGCUUCUGAAUUCCCAGGAUGGUGGUAUCUCUAUCAUCAUUGUGGCAGUACAUCUCUCACAGAUAACUGACAUUUCAUUUGCCAUCUUCAAUUUCAGUCCUCAAUUCUGCAUCAUCACUCUCCUGUGACCAUGCAGACCUUCACAGCUGGCACCAGCUGAGCUUGAAGUGCCUGGGACCACUGUCGAUGGAUGAGGGUGGGACAACUGUGUGUGUAAGGCCAAGGUCAGCAGUCAGUGCUGCAUCCAGAGAGUCAUGCCAAAUGGAAUUGCAUAUACCAGAAAAAAUGGUCUUCUUAAAAGCCCAAGGCAGAUCACCAGUAACAAUUCAUAUAAAAACAGUGGAGAGACAUCUGAGUGAAAAUUGGAGUCAAGAGCCCUUCUCCUUCUCUAAUCACAUGACCUUGUGGACACUGGUAGGAGGAAGCACAGAUGCCAACAGCGCAGUCCUGUCCUGUGCCUCCAUCCAUCUUCCUCCUCUAAAAGUAAAUUCAGGGACUCUGCAGGCUGACUUCUCUCUGCAGGAAAUAAAGACUAGAGAAGUUUGGUGUGCUCAGGUUAUUUUUCCUGGGACAUUGAUUUCUCCACACCCAUUUUGGACCAAAUCUCCACUUCUAUCUUUUGGCUGCCCUUGGCUGACUCCUGAGUAUUCUUCCACUUGGACAUUGCUUCUGAAGGAUUUUCCAAUACCAAGCCAUUGGCAUUGGGCAGAAAUACUGUGUGAAGGGCAAUCAGUCAGCUCCUGGUGCUUCCUGGGUCCAUCCAAACAUCCUUGCUAAAACCUUCAAAGAAACUUUCAGCUUUCUUGCCGUGCUGCUACAGGCCCAUUUCAACUAAUGAGCAAGGCAGCAAACUCUGUCCGUUGUAGCUUGAAGACCUGAGUGACAGCCAGAGAUACCUUCUCCUCCUGGGACAGCAAUCUGUUUGGCACUUGGCCAGCCAGUGAAUCUUUCCAGAUGAAGCCUUUGAUGUCUAGGUGAUGAUUGUAAUCUGAGGGAUCAGCAGAGCUCUGUCACACUGAGACCAUAAAUCACAGAAACGCAGGGCUGGAACGGAUAUCAGGAGAACACCUUGCCCACGCCAUGCACUUGGCUCUUCUUGCAGAUUUGUGUCUGUUUCAUCCUUAAAAAGCUCCAAUCACAAGACCAACUCUGGGUGUUUUUCUCCAGUUCCAGAUUUUCCUAACAGUAGAUGUUUCCUAAUGUCUAAUCUUUGAUAAAAACUAAACCCAUUCUCUCCAUUUCCUUUAUGGCAUAAUUCAUCAUCAUCUUUACCAGUAAUACUUAAAGUACUGAAAGUCUUUCAUCAUGUCUCAUCUCAAGAUGAUGUUUUUCUAGAUGAAAAGAAAUGUUUAAAAAAGCAGUUCCUUGAACCUUUUCUCAUAGAUCAUGUUUUCCAAAUUUCUCAUAAUUCUUGUUGGUCUGUUCUGGCUCCUCUCCAAUGAGUCUCCAUUUUUCGUCAAAAAGAGCUGACACAGUGCUUCAGUGAAGACCUCACCCACACUGAGCAAAGCUGAAAAAUAACCUCCUGUGGAUUACACAACAUUUGUGUAAUUAGAUGCCAGUAUAAGAUAAGCUGUGGAUUUUCCUGCUUUCUAUACAACAUCUUAUUGUUAGUUAUUUUUAAUUCAAGAACUGUUAGUCCUUACAGACCCUUCACCAGCUUCAUCUCCUGCUCUGCAGUAAUGAUUAAAUGUGUUGCUUAGUCAAAAUAUUAGCUGAAUGCAACUCUAUGGAAAUGAAUGGCAUAACUGCAGUAGAAAAAAUGGGGUAAUAAAAGCAAUAAGGAACAGAGUCAGGACAAAGGCAUAGGCUACAUAAUGGUAUAUUGAGACUGCAGAGAGCUCAUACAUCCAUUAGGUGUUAACUGCCUUCUGUCGAAAUUUAUGAAGUUCUUUAUAUUCCUCUCCAUGACUACCAAGUUCCUGUUUACGCUGUACUUCC